AUGUGCACAUUUUUAUCCCUCUCCGAUCCCGUAUCCAAAAUAUCAGCUGAACCUCGUGUAAGUAUUUAUUUGUGUUUCGACGACGGCAAAUUUUAUUGAUCAGUUUCUCUAGUUACCGAGUAAUUUUUAAUGGAUGAAUCGUCCCGUUGAAAAAAAUGUCCCGUUGAGGUUUGAAGGUUUGAAAAUUUACCAAUGCAAAAUCAUUCUACAAUCUUUAUUUUCACAAAAGUAAAUUAAAACAUUUCAGCAGAAUACCUUGUUAAUUUUGAAAUUCAUCAGUUCAAUGUAUUGAAUAAGCCGCACUUGAUGGAGCAACACCUUCGGAAAGAAUAAUGAAUAUCUAAAGGAAAGCGGAAACGCCUUCAAUUUUCGUGUAUGCAAAACGGACGACCAUAGAGCACGUUUAGUUGUAUUCAGGCGUCAUCUCCAAUCAAGGUGGGUAGUGGGUGUGCAUGGACCACAUGAAGAAGUCUUAUACUGAAUUUAGGCAAAAUUUGUGACCAUUGACAUGAAUUCGUGCUAUUAAACGAAGAGUAGAUGUAUGCUUCUUCGUGCUUGCGAGUGAAAAAUGGUGAAGAAAAACCACAAAAAUAGCGAAAGUGAGUUUGAAAGUUUAUCUUGGAACGUUUUACCUUUUUGAUAUUCUUUCUUAUUUUUCAAGGAAUGGUCGCUACCUCUGGAUCUGACAAAUCAUGUCAAAAGUUCUGUCGUAGAUCAGACUCUGCAACCAAGCUACUGCGACAGUUUGAGCGGUUUAUGAUGGACUUUGGGAGGAGCUAUGCGUCGCUGGCGGAGAAAAUGAUGCGGUUUGAGAUUUUCAAAGAAAAUUUGAAAAUAAUUGAGGAUUUGAUGGCCAGUAAGAGAGGAAGUGCCAAGUUUGGUGUGGGCCCUUUCGCUGACAUGUCCGCCGCUGAGUUUCAUCGCAAGUACUUCAGGAGGCGAGGAUUGCGCAGAACCUACGAGCAUUCUGUCCAGAGGCGCACACCCGCAAGGGUUAGUGCCGCCAACAAGAAAGAUAACUCCGAUAGAGGGAGACGCAAACAAAUUAGAAUGCAAAAUAUCGAUCCGUUCAAAACCGCUCCCAUCCCUGUAAAAGUCUCCAGCCCCGCUGUUGAGUCCCCUUUAACCGGCUCCAAACCAGCCAGCCCUGGCGUCGCACCUCCUUCAACCGACCCGAAACCCGCUACCUCUGCCGUUGUGCCUCCUGCAACCGGCCAAAAAUCCGUUGCACCCGUCUUCGUCAUCUGUACCGGUCAACUCCCGUACACGCCACUGUAA
rnacentral:lncRNA from 1 species